CUCGUAGGUGGCCAACUAAGUCAGACGUGAAAUCCCCCGGCUUAACCGGGGAAUUGCAUCUGAUACUGGUUGGCUUGAGUUCGGGAGAGGGAUGCGGAAUUCCAGGUGUAGCGGUGAAAUGCGUAGAUAUCUGGAGGAACACCGGUGGCGAAGGCGGCAUCCUGGACCGACACUGACGCUGAGGAGCGAAAGCCAGGGGAGCAAACG
rnacentral:rRNA from 1 species